rnacentral:rRNA from 1 species
AACGAACGCUGGCGGCAGGCUUAACACAUGCAAGUCGAACGCAUCCUUCGGGGUGAGUGGCAGACGGGUGAGUAACGCGUGGGAACGUGCCCUUCAGUUCGGAAUAACCCAGGGAAGCUUGGGCUAAUACCGGAUACGUGCGAGAGCAGAAAGAUUUAUCGCUGAAGGAUCGGCCCGCGUCUGAUUAGCUAGUUGGUGGGGUAAUGGCCCACCAAGGCGACGAUCAGUAGCUGGUCUGAGAGGAUGAUCAGCCACAUUGGGACCGAGACACGGCCCAAACUCCUACGGGAGGCAGCAGUGGGGAAUAUUGGACAAUGGGCGCAAGCCUGAUCCAGUCAUGCCGCGUGAGUGAUGACGGCCUUAGGGUUGUAAAGCUCUUUCGUCCGGGACGAUAAUGACGGUACCGGAAGAAGAAGCCCCGGCUAACUUCGUGCCAGCCGCCGCCGUAA